rnacentral:rRNA from 1 species
UACGGGAGGCAGCAGUGGGGAAUAUUGCACAAUGGGCGCAAGCCUGAUGCAGCCAUGCCGCGUGUAUGAAGAAGGCCUUCGGGUUGUAAAGUACUUUCAGCGGGGAGGAAGGCGAUGCGGUUAAUAACCGCGUCGAUUGACGUUACCCGCAGAAGAAGCACCGGCUAACUCCGUGCCAGCAGCCGCGGUAAUACGGAGGGUGCAAGCGUUAAUCGGAAUUACUGGGCGUAAAGCGCACGCAGGCGGUCUGUUAAGUCAGAUGUGAAAUCCCCGGGCUUAACCUGGGAACUGCAUUUUGAACUGGCAGGCUUGAGUCUUGUAGAGGGGGUAGAAUUCCAGGUGUAGCGGUGAAAUGCGUAGAGAUCUGGAGGAAUACCGGUGGCGAAGGCGGCCCCUGGGACAAAGACUGACGCUCAGGUGCGAAAGCGUGGGGAGCAAACAGGGAUUAGGAUACC